rnacentral:rRNA from 1 species
AGCGAACGCUGGCGGUAGGCUUAACACAUGCAAGUCGAGCGGGCAUCCUUGUGGUGUCAGCGGCAGACGGGUGAGUAACGCGUGGGAACGUGCCCUUCGGUUCGGAAUAACUCAGGGAAACUUGAGCUAAUACCGGAUACGUGCGAGAGCAGAAAGGUUUAUCUGCCGAAGGAUCGGCCCGCGUCUGAUUAGCUAGUUGGUGAGGUUAUGGCUCACCAAGGCGACGAUCAGUAGCUGGUCUGAGAGGAUGAUCAGCCACACUGGGACUGAGACACGGCCCAGACUCCUACGGGAGGCAGCAGUGGGGAAUAUUGGACAAUGGGGGCAACCCUGAUCCAGCCAUGCCGCGUGAGUGAUGACGGCCUUAGGGUUGUAAAGCUCUUUUCUCCGGGACGAUAAUGACGGUACCGGAGGAAUAAGCCCCGGCUAACUUCGUG